AACGGGUGAGUAACGCGUAGGUAACCUGCCUGGUAGCGGGGGAUAACUAUUGGAAACGAUAGCUAAUACCGCAUGACAACAGUUAUUGCAUGAUAGCUGCUUGAAAGGUGCAAUUGCACCACUACCAGAUGGACCUGCGUUGUAUUAGCUAGUUGGUGAGGUAACGGCUCACCAAGGCAACGAUACAUAGCCGACCUGAGAGGGUGAUCGGCCACACUGGGACUGAGACACGGCCCAGACUCC
rnacentral:rRNA from 1 species